rnacentral:misc_RNA from 1 species
GAUGGAGAGGAGGAAGAAGAUCGCCU